GACGAACGCUGGCGGCGUGCUUAACACAUGCAAGUCGAACGGAAAGGCCCUGCUUUUGUGGGGUGCUCGAGUGGCGAACGGGUGAGUAACACGUGAGUAACCUGCUCUUGACUUUGGGAUAACUUCAGGAAACUGGGGCUAAUACCGGAUAGGAGCUCCUGCUGCAUGGUGGGGGUUGGAAAGUUUCGGCGGUUGGGGAUGGACUCGCGGCUUAUCAGCUUGUUGGUGGGGUAGUGGCUUACCAAGGCAUUGACGGGUAGCCGGCCUGAGAGGGUGACCGGCCACAUUGGGACUGAGAGACGGCCCAGACGCCUACGGGAGGCAGCAGUGGGGAAUAUUGCACAAUGGGCGGAAGCCUGAGGCAGCAACGCCGCGUUCGGGAUGACGGCCUGCGGGUUGUAAACCGCUUUCGCCUGUGACGAAGCGUGAGUGACGGUAAUGAGUAAAGAAGCACCGGCUAACUACGUG
rnacentral:rRNA from 1 species